GAUAGUGAACUAGUACCGUGAGGGAAAGGUGAAAAGUACCCUGAAUAAGGGGGUGAAAUAGUACCUGAAACCAUACGCUUACAAACGGUCGGAGCAGCUUUGUGCUGUAACGGCGUGCCUUUUGCAUAAUGAGCCUACGAGUUACCGUUGCUAGCGAGGUUAAACACUUCAGGUGUGGAGCCGUAGCGAAAGCGAGUCUGAAUAGGGCGCCCUAGUUCGUUGGAUUAGACCCGAAACCGAGUGAUCUAGCCAUGAGCAGGUUGAAGGUUGGGUAACACCAACUGGAGGACCGAACCCGCAUCUGUUGCAAUAGAUUGGGAUGACUUGUGGUUAGGGGUGAAA
rnacentral:rRNA from 1 species